CCUACGGGAGGCAGCAGUAGGGAAUAUUGCUCAAUGGGGGAAACCCUGAAGCAGCAACGCCGCGUGGAGGAUGAAGGUUUUCGGAUUGUAAACUCCUUUUGUUAGAGAAGAUAAUGACGGUAUCUAACGAAUAAGCACCGGCUAACUCCGUGCCAGAAGCCGCGGUAAUACGGAGGGUGCAAGCGUUACUCGGAAUCACUGGGCGUAAAGAGCGCGUAGGCGGGAUAGCAAGUCAGAUGUGAAAGCCUAGGGCUUAACCAUAGAACUGCAUUUGAAACUGUUAUUCUAGAGUAUGGGAGAGGUAGGUGGAAUUCUUGGUGUAGGGGUAAAAUCCGUAGAGAUCAAGAGGAAUACUCAUUGCGAAGGCGACCUGCUAGAACAUAACUGACACUGAUGCGCGAAAGCGUGGGGAGCAAACAGGAUUAGAUACCCUUGUAGUC
rnacentral:rRNA from 1 species